ACACGGAGGGCGCGAGCGUUGUUCGGAAUCACUGGGCGUAAAGCGCUCGUAGGCGGCUUGUUAAGUCGGAUGUGAAAUCCCCGGGCUCAACCUUGGAACUGCAUUCGAUACUGCCUCACUAGAGUAUGGUAGAGGGAAGUGGAAUUCCGGGUGUAGCGGUGAAAUGCGUAGAUAUCAGGAGGAACAUCAGUGGCGAAGGCGACUUCCUGGCCCAAUACUGACGCUGAGGUGCGAAAGCGUGGGGAGCAAACAGGAUUAGAUACCCCAGUAGUCC
rnacentral:rRNA from 1 species